CACAUAAAGUGAUAAGGAGUAUUGUGGACCCCUGCUAAGUGCUUUUGGCAAGAAAAACUGAAGAAAUGAUGCGUUCUCUGGAAAGAGUGAAGAUCAUUUCAAGGAAAAUUUUUGAUUGAACAACUUAGCAGUUAACUACAGUCUAUUCGAAAAGCACAAGCAUUAUCAUUGUUUCAAAACAAGUACCAUGUAGACAAUCACCUAACAGCAACCAACUUGAUUCUCUUCUUGAAUAAAUAUAAAUACUGUUUUCCCUGAAGUGGGUGGAUUGCAGGCUUAUGGAGAAGAGCAGGAUACAGUCUUAAAAAUGCUUUGAAAGAAACUUAUUCUCCAGGGAGAGUGAAUAGACUCCCACAUAUAUUUGCUAAUAUAGAAGGAUUUUGAUGUUAGCUUUCAUUGAUUACUGAAUUAAGAAAUCAAUACUGUUGUUUUAUAAAAGGGACCACAGAAGACUGGCUUGUUGUACUUAAUAAGAGCAUUGCGAAAAUAAUUAUCCAGUUUCUUCAUCAAUGGUGAUACAGCUUAACCCAGCAAGUCAUUAAGAAUUCCCCUCCAUGCAGUUUUCCUAUCAGCAAACACUGCCUAUUGUAUGAACUAACACAGCAUGGCAUAUCUCCUAUGCUGUCUUCCGGAAAAGUUUCUAUCCUUUAGUGGGAAGAUAAGAAAAGAAGAGGAAGCUGGAGAGAAAGCACCUCCUGAAGCAAUUCAGCAGAGAAAGGAAUCCAGGCCCAAAUGGGGAGAUUGCAAUGUCUAAACUGACCCAACCACAAAAGGGAAGAUGCACAAAAUGCUGUCAUUCUCUAAAGUUCUCUCUCAACAGGCAAUUUGCAAUGGAAAACCCCUGAGCUCUGGUUUGGGACUAGAUGUUAUAAUCAGACAGCAGGAAUUUUUAAAAUUAUGUGACAGGUUCAUACUCAUUUAUUUCUUCCACCCUCUUUUUUCCCCCGGCUCAGUUCAAGAAAAGACAAUUUCCAGUACAUAUGCAGGAAGUCAAAAGUAGUUAAAAAUGGAUGGCAGUGCUACAGGCUGCACACUGUCACCACGGUUACCACACACCAGGUGUAUGACCAGAAUCAGUCACUGGAGCAGGAGCAUAUAAAAUGAAAACACCCAAGAACCCUGGGUAUGUUGAAGAGAGGGACAUUGCCAGUCGGCAUAUUGGAGCUGAGAAACGGAUGGUGAUGAGGCCAAAAGAAGAAAGGCCCACUUCACUAUUCGGCCUUGACCAAAAA